rnacentral:rRNA from 1 species
GAUGAACGCUAGCUACAGGCUUAACACAUGCAAGUCGAGGGGCAGCGGGAUUGAAGCUUGCUUCAAUUGCCGGCGACCGGCGCACGGGUGAGUAACGCGUAUCCAACCUUCCGUACACUCAGGGAUAGCCUUUCGAAAGAAAGAUUAAUACCUGAUGGUAUGAUGAGAUUGCAUGAUAGCAUCAUUAAAGAUUUAUCGGUGUACGAUGGGGAUGCGUUCCAUUAGGUAGUAGGCGGGGUAACGGCCCACCUAGCCGACGAUGGAUAGGGGUUCUGAGAGGAAGGUCCCCCACAUUGGAACUGAGACACGGUCCAAACUCCUACGGGAGGCAGCAGUGAGGAAUAUUGGUCAAUGGACGAGAGUCUGAACCAGCCAAGUAGCGUGAAGGAUGAAGGUCCUACGGAUUGUAAACUUCUUUUAUAAGGGAAUAAACCCUCCCACGUGUGGGAGCUUGUAUGUACCUUAUGAAUAAGCAUCGGCUAACUCCGUGCCAGCAGCCG